GCCCGCUCAGAAACUUAAAGGAAGUUGACGGGGCCCGGCACAAGCGGUGGAGCACGUGGUUUAAUUCGAUGCAAACCGAAGAACCUUACCUGGGUUUGACAUGUACGUGUUACUGAUCUGAGAGGAGAGGGACCCAUGCUUCGGUAUGGGAGCGUACACAGGUGCUGCAUGGCUGUCGUCAGCUCGUGUCGUGAGAUGUUGGGUUAAGUCCCGCAACGAGCGCAACCCUUGCCUUUAGUUGCCAGCAGUUCGGCUGGGCACUCUAAAGGGACUGCCGGUGUUAAACCGGAGGAAGGUGGGGAUGACGUCAAGUCCUCAUGGCCUUUAUGACCAGGGCUACACACGUACUACAAUGGCCGAUACAAAGGGCAGCGACACUGCGAGGUGAAGCCAAUCCCGUAAAAUCGGUCUCAGUCCGGAUUGGAGUCUGCAACUCGACUCCAUGAAGUUGGAAUCGCUAGUAAUCGUGGAUCAGCAUGCCACGGUGAAUACGUUCCCGGGCCUU
rnacentral:rRNA from 1 species